UACGAAGGGGGGCUAAGUCGUGCUCGGAAUUACUGGGCGUAAAGGGCGCGUAGGCGGCUCUGUUAGUCAGGCGUGAAAGUCCUGGGCUCAACCUGGGAACUGCGCUUGAUACGGCAGGGCUAGAGGAUGGAAGAGGGUCGCGGAAUUCCCAGUGUAGAGGUGAAAUUCGUAGAUAUCGGAAGGAACACCUGUGGCGAAAGCGGCUCACUGGACCACAACUGACGCUGAGGCGCGAAAGCUAGGGGGAGCAAACAGG
rnacentral:rRNA from 1 species